rnacentral:lncRNA from 1 species
AAAUGACAAGCUCAACUUUAAUAUAAGAUUUUUAUUUCAUUAGAACAAGCCAGAAAAGAGAUACAUAGAUAUAGGUGCCAAGCCUGUGCUUUCUACUAUUUAAUAGAAGUAACUACCACGGAUCUAACAGCAUAAUGGACUUUCGUAAAUCACACUAGUGCUGCCAUUUUUAGUUCUUCACUGGUGCAGGCUUGCUAGCCGGUGCCUGUCACAAAAACAAUGAGGAAAAUAUCAAUUGAGCUUCAUAAUGUGAAGCAUUACAAUGUAAGAGCUAUAUAUAUAUAUAUAGAUAUAUAUACUAGUACCUUCUUGGGCUCCCGGGGUUUGUGCUCGGCCUUCUUGGGGCCAGGCUUGGAGGCCGGGGUGGGAGGGUUGGGGGGGUUGCCACUAGGCUUGGCAGGCUCCUUCUUGACCUGCCCAGCGGGUUGGGUAGUGAGAGGUUUCUGAGCCUUGAGUGAUGCCAUUCUUCACACUGUCCUCUUCACAAAGAGAAAAUUGAAAUUAAGCUACGUUCCUGGCCUCGAGUGUUUAGCUCCUAACAAAGACAUCCAUUUAUAGUUGAGUUUGGAAAACUCAACGUGGAAUUAGAAUCACUGAACAAGGAAAAAG